GAGUGAACGCUGGCGGUAGGCCUAACACAUGCAAGUCGAACGGCAGCACAGUAAGAGCUUGCUCUUACGGGUGGCGAGUGGCGGACGGGUGAGGAAUACAUCGGAAUCUACUUUUUCGUGGGGGAUAACGUAGGGAAACUUACGCUAAUACCGCAUACGACCUACGGGUGAAAGCAGGGGAUCUUCGGACCUUGCGCGAUUGAGUGAGCCGAUGUCGGAUUAGCUAGUUGGCGGGGUAAAGGCCCACCAAGGCGACGAUCCGUAGCUGGUCUGAGAGGAUGAUCAGCCACACUGGAACUGAGACACGGUCCAGACUCCUACGGGAGGCAGCAGUGGGGAAUAUUGGACAAUGGGCGCAAGCCUGAUCCAGCCAUACCGCGUGGGUGAAGAAGGCCUUCGGGUUGUAAAGCCCUUUUGUUGGGAAAGAAAAGCAGCAGGUUAAUACCCCGCUGUUCUGACGGUACCCAAAGAAUAAGCACCGGCUAACUUCGUG
rnacentral:rRNA from 1 species